GACGAACGCUGGCGGCGUGCCUAAUACAUGCAAGUUGAGCGCUGAAGGUUGGUACUUGUACCAACUGGAUGAGCAGCGAACGGGUGAGUAACGCGUGGGGAAUCUGCCUUUGAGCGGGGGACAACAUUUGGAAACGAAUGCUAAUACCGCAUAAAAACUUUAAACACAAGUUUUAAGUUUGAAAGAUGCAAUUGCAUCACUCAAAGAUGAUCCCGCGUUGUAUUAGCUAGUUGGUGAGGUAAAGGCUCACCAAGGCGAUGAUACAUGGCCGACCUGAGAGGGUGAUCGGCCACAUUGGGACUGAGACACGGCCCAAACUCCUACGGGAGGCAGCAGUAGGGAAUCUUCGGCAAUGGACGAAAGGCUGACCGAGCAACGCCGCGGGAGUGAAGAAGGGUUUCGGAUCGUAAAACUCUGUUGGUAGAGAAGAACGUUGGUGAGAGUGGAAAGCUCAUCAAGUGACGGUAACUACCCAGAAAGGGACGGCUAACUACGUG
rnacentral:rRNA from 1 species